GGUAAUGUCUGGGAAACUGCCCGAUGGAGGGGGAUAACUACUGGAAACGGUAGCUAAUACCGCAUAACGUCGCAAGACCAAAGAGGGGGACCUUCGGGCCUCUUGCCAUCGGAUGUGCCCAGAUGGGAUAGCUAGUAGGUGGGGUAACGGCUCACCUAGGCGACGAUCCCUAGCUGGUCUGAGAGGAUGACCAGCCACACUGGAACUGAGACACGGUCCAG
rnacentral:rRNA from 1 species